AAAUAGCCUUAGAAAGGUGUGCACAUCAUCUGGGCACGUGUCGCUUUGCUGCUCCUUGGGCUGGAAUUCUGUAACACACGUCAAUAUGUGGGAGUUCUAUUAAAAACUCCUCUGAAUGGAAGGCUUGGUUAUUAAUGUGGAGAUUGGAAGCUGAAUGCAGGUGGAUCAGAUGCUCAUCCCUUCCAAACCCUGAGUGUCUGGACUCUUCUGGAACAGCGAGUCUGAUGUCGUGUCCGAGGGUGACCAAAGGCUGGGCUGUGAGUGGCCUUUCCAGGGCUCUCAUCUCAGGGAUGUGAUGCUCCUGCAGCUGUUGGAGCUCAUUUGGUAAAAAUGGGAAGAAUUCUGCCUUCUCAGCCUUUCCAAGGUCAGCACAAUUUCGAGUCAUACUGCCUUUACAAAUCAAUAAACAU